GGCGUGUAAUAUGGGCUCCACCUCAUGAAGCUGAUGUAUGGAACCACUAUCCACAAUGCUGGGAUAUCUGGCACUCCCUGAUUAAGGAAGUGGUGGAGGAGAGCAUUCCCUGCAGGACACAGGAAAGGAAGAGGCCGUCCACAGCCAGGCAACACAGGCAUGAAUACUCCAGUGCCUCAGGCAGUGUGCGGAUCACAGAUGUCCAGCUGCAGGGUCUGUUAAUGAGGCUGGGGAACUCCUCCCAGAGAGAGCAGGACAUUGG